GGGGAUUUAGCUCAGUGGCAGAGCACUUGCCUAGCAAGUGCAAGGCCCUGGGUUCAGUCCCCA
rnacentral:tRNA from 1 species